AGAAGCGAAAACAAUUUAACAAAUUGAGCGGACAAUAAAAGCAUUAUAAAGAUCACAUAAAAGAUGAUGGUGAAGAUGAUGAUAAAGAUGAUAAAGUGAGCCAUUAGAUUGUAUAUACAUCAGAAAUAUAAUCAUCCAUAACACAUACAUAAUACACAUAAACAAAUAGACGGGAUAAACAGAUAAAAGAUUACGAUGAAGAUGAUGAUGAUGAUGCUGAUGGAAUGAAAAAAAGGAUUUUUUUUCUUCUUCUUCUCCUUGUUAUUGAUAUUUUGAAGUUAAGCUCAACACAAAUGAAACCCUUAAUCCUAUGUCCAAUCAUUUAAUAAAUACAUUAUUACCAAAAUUAUAUUUUUGUUUUGUUUGUUACCGAUUCAAUAUUAACAUUAACGCGCCUUUUGUCUAUCAUUUUUAACUUGCAUCAAGCUCCAUCUUGUCUCGUCCAUAAGCAACAAGCAACCCCUCGCUUUUCAAAGCUCAUCCACCUUCACUUGACUGCUAAUAUUUGUACACGUUAAUCCGAUUAAAUCUGGUUACCCUAAUCUUCAUCAUCUUCAACAUCAACAUCAUCAUCGACAUCAUUAUAACCAUUCAAUUCAAUUCAAUCAAAUUCCGAUCGUUUGCUCUUUUCUUUCAAUGGGUUUUCCUUUGCUCUCUACUUUACCAUCACCCUAAUUGAUUUUACACUUACCAUCUUUUGUUGACAAAAAAAGGUAAAGGUGACAAUAAACAAAUAAGAUGACAAUUCAUUGCUGGUCAAAUUGGUAAACACACUUUCUAUACUCCAUUCAGUAGUAAAAACAAGUUUUACUCUGAAAAAAAACAAGACUCACUCCUUUAUUAUUAUCAAGAGACCAUUUGAAUCUGUUUUUUUUCUGAUAUUGUUGGUGGUGAUAAUGUUCAUCUGUAAAUAGAUUAAUGUUUCCUCUCACUGGACUCAUCACUGUUAACAAUGAGUUUAUUAAAUUUGCAGUUUAAUU